GUGCCUGUAGCUCAAUUGGAUAGAGCGUCUGACUACGGAUCAGAAGGUUGGGGGUUCGAGUCCCUUCAGGCACGCCA
rnacentral:tRNA from 1 species